CCGACCUUCUUCGAUUUUUCGCUGAUCGAAAAUGUGACGCCGCUAUCAGACGAAAGGGUGAGGAUAGGAUUUGCCGGGAGCCCCUCGCGGNACGAUCUCGAACUGGUAUCAUCGCUCAUCGGGCCAGUUCUCAAGGCCUUCCCGCAAGCGAUUUUCGAAUUCGCCGGCACUCUGCCCAAGGGCAUCAAACCGAGUGAGCGGAUUGUGUUUUUCCCGCAUACUCAGGACUACACCAGCUACAUUCGGUUUCAGGCCGCGCGAAAUUGGGCGAUUGGCCUUGCGCCGCUCAAAGAUCACGAAGCGAACCGCAACAAAACCGACAACAAAUAUCGUGAAUACGGUGCAUGCGGAUGCGUCGGCAUUUACUCC
rnacentral:misc_RNA from 1 species